rnacentral:rRNA from 1 species
UACGAAGGGGGCUAGCGUUGUUCGGAUUUACUGGGCGUAAAGCGCACGUAGGCGGCCUGUUAAGUCAGGGGUGAAAUCCUGGAGCUCAACUCCAGAACUGCCCUUGAUACUGGCAGGCUCGAGUAUGGUAGAGGUUGGUGGAACUGCGAGUGUAGAGGUGAAAUUCGUAGAUAUUCGCAAGAACACCAGUGGCGAAGGCGGCCAACUGGACCAUUACUGACGCUGAGGUGCGAAAGCGUGGGGAGCAAACAGG